rnacentral:tRNA from 16 species
AGCACAGCGGCAUAAGUUUUGCCUGUCAUUGAUGAGGCACAGGUUCGAAUCCUGGCAUC